CUACGGGCGGCUGCAGGCGCGAAACCUUUACACUGCGCGAAAGCGUGAUAGGGGGACUCCCAGUGUUAGUUUACUAACUUUUGUUAAGUGUAAACAGCUUAACGAAUAAGUGGGGGGCAAGAUACGUGCCAGCCGCCGCGGUAACACGUACCCCACCAGUGGUUCUCACGAAUAUUGGGCCUAAAGCAUCUGUAGCCGGUUCAGUAAGUCUUUUGUUAAAUCUGCUAGCCUAACUAGCAACCUGCAAAAGAUACUGCUAGACUAGGAACAGGGAGACGUUAGGGGUAUUUCUGGGGUACCGGUGAAAUGGGAUAAUCCUAGAAGGACCACCUGUAGCGAAGGCGCCUAACGAGAACUGAUUCGACGGUGAGAGAUGAAAGCUGGGGGAGCGACCCGGAUUAGAUACCCCGGUAGUC
rnacentral:rRNA from 1 species